rnacentral:pre_miRNA from 1 species
AAAAUACUCCCUCCGUUCGGAAUUACUUGUCGCAGAAAUGGAUGUAUCUAGACGUAUUUUACUUCUAGAUACAUCCAUUUCCGAGACAAGUAAUUCCGAAUGGAGGGAGUAGCAU